rnacentral:rRNA from 1 species
AUCAACUUUCGAUUGGUAGGAUAGAGGCCUACCAUGGUGGUAACGGGUAACGGGGAAUUAGGGUUCGAUUCCGGAGAGGGAGCCUGAGAAACGGCUACCACAUCCAAGGAAGGCAGCAGGCGCGCAAAUUACCCAAUCCCGACACGGGGAGGUAGUGACAAUAAAUAACAAUACGGGGCUCUUUCGGGUCUCGUAAUUGGAAUGAGUACAAUUUAAAUCCCUUAACGAGGAACAAUUGGAGGGCAAGUCUGGUGCCAGCAGCCGCGGUAAUUCCAGCUCCAAUAGCGUAUAUUAAAGUUGUUGCAGUUAAAAAGCUCGUAGUUGAAUUUCGGGAUUGACACAUCGGUCGUGCCCUAAGAGGUAUGAACUGGUGUCGUCAGUUUCUCACCUUCUGGAGAACCGCGAUGUCCUUAAUUGGGUGCCGCGAGGAACCAGGACCUUUACUUUGAAAAAAUUAGAGUGUUUAAAGCAGGCAUUUUGCUUGAAUACAUUAGCAUGGAAUAAUAAAAUAGGACGGAUGGUUCUAUUUUGUUGGUUUCUAGGAUCACCGUAAUGAUUAAUAGGGAUAGUUGGGGGCAUUAGUAUUCAAUUGUCAGAGGUGAAAUUCUUGGAUUUAUUGAAGACUAACUACUGCGAAAGCAUUUGCCAAGGAUGUUUUCAUUAAUCAAGAACGAAAGUUAGGGGAUCGAAGACGAUCAGAUACCGUCGUAGUCUUAACCAUAAACUAUGCCGACUAGGAAUCAGACGAUGUUAAUUUUUUAAUGACUCGUUUGGCACCUUACGGGAAACCAAAGUGUUUGGGUUC